rnacentral:rRNA from 1 species
UACAGAGGUCUCAAGCGUUGUUCGGAAUCACUGGGCGUAAAGCGUGCGUAGGCUGUUUCGUAAGUCGUGUGUGAAAGGCGCGGGCUCAACCCGCGGACGGCACAUGAUACUGCGAGACUAGAGUAAUGGAGGGGGAACCGGAAUUCUCGGUGUAGCAGUGAAAUGCGUAGAUAUAUGGAAGAACACCAGUGGCGAAAGCGGCUCUCUGGUCUGUAACUGACGCUGAGGCACGAAGGCCAGGGGAGCGAAAGGG